GGGGGUGACCGGAUUCGACGGGGUGUGUUUGAGCGGCAAUAGCAAGUCGAGUGCCGAAGCUCGUUAAAAAUCGGACCAAAAAGUAACUGCGAACAAUAGACAACUCGCACUAGCUGCCUAAAGGCGUAGCUACGUCCUCCCAGUUUUGCCGGUAGUAUUGGAAAGGGCGUCAACGAUAUCGGAUAGCGACUUUGUUCCGUUUCAGGCAAAUGUUGCGAAACAAAAUGGAACUUUGUCCGACUUCAACUUGUCAGUAAGGAGUAGAAGGACGAGAAAAAAAUGCUGACUAAGCUUGUAGCGGUUGCCGUGUGGACCAUUCCGGACGCGGGUUCAAGUCCCGCCACCUCCACCA
rnacentral:tmRNA from 1 species